GAGCCUCUUCUGCCGGAAGGCCUCUUGGACUGCUCAGAGGUGCCGGAGUACCUCACCGGAGAGGUCCCAGGAGACUAUGGCUACGAUCCUUUUGGCCUGGGCAAGAAGCCAGAGGACUUCGCCAAGUACCAGGCCUACGAGCUGAUCCAUGCCAGGCGUGCAACAAG